GACGAACGCUGGCGGCGUGCUUAACACAUGCAAGUCGAACGGAAAGGCCCUGCUUUUGUGGGGUGCUCGAGUGGCGAACGGGUGAGUAACACGUGAGUAACCUGCCCUUGACUUUGGGAUAACUUCAGGAAACUGGGGCUAAUACCGGAUAGGAGCUCCUGUUGCAUGGUGGGGGUUGGAAAGUUUCGGCGGUUGGGGAUGGAUUCGCGGCUUAUCAGCUUGUUGGUGGGGUAGUGGCUUACCAAGGGUUUGACGGGUAGCCGGCCUGAGAGGGUGACCGGCCACAUUGGGACUGAGAGACGGCCCAGACUCGUACGGGAGGCAGCAGUGGGGAAUAUUGCACAAUGGGAGGAAGCCUGAUGCAGCAACGCCGCGUGCGGGAUGACGGCCUUCGGGUUGUAAACCGCUUUCGCCUGUGACGAAGCGUGAGUGACGGUAAUGGGUGAAGAAGCACCGGCUAACUACGUG
rnacentral:rRNA from 1 species